AAACUUAAAUGAAUUGACGGGGACCCGCACAAGCGGUGGAUGAUGUGGUUUAAUUCGAUGCAACGCGAAAAACCUUACCCACCUUUGACAUGUACGGAAUCCUUUAGAGAUAGAGGAGUGCUCGAAAGAGAACCGUAACACAGGUGCUGCAUGGCUGUCGUCAGCUCGUGUCGUGAGAUGUUGGGUUAAGUCCCGCAACGAGCGCAACCCUUGUCAUUAGUUGCUACAUUUAGUUGGGCACUCUAAUGAGACUGCCGGUGACAAACCGGAGGAAGGUGGGGAUGACGUCAAGUCCUCAUGGCCCUUAUAGGUGGGGCUACACACGUCAUACAAUGGAUGGUACAAAGGGUCGCCAACCCGCGAGGGGGAGCCAAUCCCAUAAAGCCAUUCGUAGUCCGGAUCGCAGUCUGCAACUCGACUGCGUGAAGUCGGAAUCGCUAGUAAUCGUGGAUCAGAAUGUCACGGUGAAUACGUUCCCGGGUCUUGUACACACCGCCCGUCACACCAUGGGAGCGGGUUCUGCCAGAAGUAGUUAGCCUAACCGCAAGGAGGGCGAUUACCACGGCAGGGUUCGUGACUGGGGUGAAGUCGUAACAAGGUAGCCGUAUCGGAAGGUGCGGCUGGAUCACCUCCUUUCUG
rnacentral:rRNA from 1 species